rnacentral:lncRNA from 1 species
GUGAUGUGGAAAGAGCUGCAAAGAAGCUGCAUACAGGGGGCAGCCAGAAGUACUCCUGGGUCUGAUCAGCUACUGUGGACUCUUUGUGCAAUGGGAAGUGGGCCUGCAGGAAAGCCUUGUCUACAGUGCCCUGAUUCUAGAAGGAAAUCCAUGCAAAAACCUGCAGGACAGAAAGUCCUGUCUUCUGUAAGCUCUCUUGAAGGUUGUCUGAAGGUUGGACUGUCUUUUCUGGCACCGGGCUGUUAGUUAUGGUGAGUGUUUACAGGAGAAGUGAGCAUUGGGUCCAUUGGUUUCUGCAAAUUGCCUUGCUUCUCCAGAGAGAAAAGUCCUUGAAACCUACGUCUUCCAAAUAGAAGUCACUGUUGGACCCAUGUUUGGAGGUAUUCCAGCCCUCAUGAAGGAUUGAAAGACACAGAUGGGAGCAGAGAGACAGUCUGACGAAAUGCUGUCUGAUGCGGAAGUGUGGAUGAAGCAAAAGUGUGUAGCUGAAUUUCUCCAUGUGGAAAAAUUGCACCCAAUGACAUUCAUCAAUGUUGCUGAAUAUUUAUGGAGACCAAAGAGUGGAUGUGAGCACAGCAAGGAGCAAAAACAGAGAAGGAGCAGGAGAGAGAAGUAGAGUGGAAAGAACUUCUCCUGGAAUGUACUGGACCAUUAAAUAUAAAGUGUCUUGGAUCUUCUUAAAUGCUGCAAAGCAGGUUAAGCUCUACACUCUACACAGCAAUUCACAACACCAAUCAUCUUUGACUGCCAAACCCUGCCGGAACAGUGAAAAAUCAUGGCACUUACAUUAAAUGUGAACAGUAACUUUUUCAAAGAGUGCAAAAUAAAUAAUUGUGGGAGAGAAUAGAUGAAUACAUAGGUAGAUGGAAGUCUCUAGAAUGGAGAAUUAGUUAUGAAUGUGGAUAAAGGAGCAUUGCUUUUACAGGUAACUACAAACAAUCUUGAAUUUAUACUCUCCACACCAACCUGGCUGACAGAGAAAACUUUUUCUCCAUUCUGCUUACUAAAAACUAACUAACAAACAACAACAAAAAUAGGUACCAAGCUGUCUUUUCUUUCUUCGUCUCUUCCUUUCUUUGUCUUUCUUUUAUUUAUUUUAAAUGUUUUAUUUAUGUUGUACGUAUUUAUUCAGGAACACAUAAAGCCUGCUUCCAUGUAGAGGCAAACCAAAUAAACUUACAUAAUCUAUAUAGUCUAAACCAAACAAAUACAUCUCCCUUCUAUGUUAAUAUAAUUAACAUUUCCUAUUAACCAGGACAGUAACGCAAACAGGCAAAACAUGAUGCAGGCUCUCUUGUAAAAAUAAAAUUAUUUUGUGGAAAAAUAUUGUGAAAAGUAGCCACAUACAAGAGAGAAGAGAAUAAAAUGCAAAAAGAAUGCAAAAAGUGAAUAUAAUGUUAUAUGCCCAAACACAUACUACAAAGAAUCAAAAACUCUCACUGCUAUCAGUGCGCAGCAAGAUUGCACAUGACUUUCUCAUAUUGGGGUUUGUAUUUAAAUGCAUCAGAACAUAAGCUUGCCUGAGAUCCAAGGAAUAUAUGAACUGGGAAGGGAGUUUUAUAUGAUGAAAGACAGGUAGGCUGAUGAUGGUUUAUUAAGAAGUGCUGGAAGCAGAAAGACAGGAGGAAUCUGGAAAAGGCCUCCACUUUAAAUCCUUCAGAGCCAAGGAAGCAGAGAAACACUGCCUUGGCUGGUGACAGCACAGCACUGGCAAUGCUGAGAAAGUCAAGUAGUCAUUCAUCACUGUGGCAUGGGAGAAGUUGCAUAAAGGAUCUGAAAAGCCCUCCAAAGCACCCUGAACCCAGGCAGUAAUUAUGUCAAGCCUUUGACCCACUGAAACCACUAUUAACCUCUCACAGAGGCACAAUUGUACAUCCAAACAUUUGCAACGUUAGUCAUGUUUAAACAGCUUCCAGUAAAGAUGACACAGGCCUAUAAGAGGAAUCUGCAUGUUCCCUCUGGAAUUGACAGGAUUCAUUCAAGUCUUUCUCCUCAGACUUGGCUGCCAAUUCUAUCUUUGCAAUUCUUAUCCCCUGUUUUCCUUGGGAACUUAAUACAUAAAAUAUUGUCCACAUAUUUUCUAUUAAAGGAAAUUUGGUUUGGUGAAGAUGGGUUGGCUUAUGUUAUGAAUUUCCUAAAUAGUUGAUUUAAAUUUAUAUAUUUACAAGCAUCUUAACCACACAAAUUAUUCUGGGGUAGAAAGGAAACACUCAGUUCUCAUCCUUUUCUUCUCAGGUACACCAAGUAAUAAGUGUCAUACUUAAUGCAUUACCAGUCCCAAAAGGUUUUCCAAUACACUGAAAUUCCCAUAUCUACAUGUUUGUGUUUGCCUUUCUUUGAUGUGAAUCCAUAUCACUUCUUUUCUCCAGCAUUUCUCUUAUGUGUUUCCAUGUUUACGCUGAAGGGAUACUGGUAGAAUAGAGUGGUCUUUGCUCACACUGGAAAUGUGGCAUCCUAGCAGGCCAGGUUCCUCUCUGAUUCUGAAAUUGCCUAAUGCCACUGAAAUCAAUAGAGUUAUCCUCAUUUGCAGCAGUGGGAGGCAGUGUCAGGGCCUUUCCUUCUCUGGCAGUUUGCCACUGUGGCUGAAAGCCAGGAAGAAGUCUUAUCCCAUGUGCAGUGAACUAACACUGAUGCAGGACUAGUGAGCAGAGGGAUGAGCUGGAACCUGGACAGGAUGAAAAAAGAGAAUGAAACAGGAGGGAUCCCCUCACACACACACACAACAAAAAGUGACAAAAACAUUGUCAAUCGCUGGUAUGGCCAUCUUAAUUCUUAGCAACCAUAAACAUUGAAGCACACCAUUAAUAAAUCAAAGGUGGUGAUAAGGAUUGUAACAAGAUAAAUUUUUGAAAUCGAUAUUCUGUUAUUCCAGAAUAACUUCACUAUUUAACUGAGAUCAAUGGAAUUACCCUAGCAUAAAACAGAAAUAAGCUGGUGGUGAAUCUAGGCCUUCGGGUGUAAAACACAAGAACGGCAGUGUAGCAGAUGCCACGCACACAGCUUAACAGGAGCA